GACGAACGCUGGCGGCGUGCUUAACACAUGCAAGUCGAACGAUGACCCGGAGCUUGCUCUGGUGAUUAGUGGCGAACGGGUGAGUAACACGUGAGUAACCUGCCCUUGACUCUGGGAUAAGCACUGGAAACGGUGUCUAAUACCGGAUACGAACCUCGGCCGCAUGGCCAGGGGUUGGAAAGAAUUUCGGUCAAGGAUGGACUCGCGGCCUAUCAGCUAGUUGGUGAGGUAAUGGCCCACCAAGGCGACGACGGGUAGCCGGCCUGAGAGGGUGACCGGCCACACUGGGACUGAGACACGGCCCAGACUCCUACGGGAGGCAGCAGUGGGGAAUAUUGCACAAUGGGCGCAAGCCUGAUGCAGCAACGCCGCGUGAGGGACGACGGCCUUCGGGUUGUAAACCUCUUUUAGUAGGGAAGAAGCGAAAGUGACGGUACCUGCAGAAAAAGCACCGGCUAACUACGUGCCAGCAGCCGCGGUAAUACGUAGGGUGCAAGCGUUGUCCGGAAUUAUUGGGCGUAAAGAGCUCGUAGGCGGUUUGUCGCGUCUGCUGUGAAAACCCGAGGCUCAACCUCGGGCCUGCAGUGGGUACGGGCAGACUAGAGUGCGGUAGGGGAGAUUGGAAUUCCUGGUGUAGCGGUGGAAUGCGCAGAUAUCAGGAGGAACACCGAUGGCGAAGGCAGAUCUCUGGGCCGUAACUGACGCUGAGGAGCGAAAGCAUGGGGAGCGAACAGGGUUAGAUACCCUGGUAGUCCAUGCCGUAAACGUUGGGAACUAGAUGUAGGGGCCAUUCCACGGUUUCUGUGUCGCAGCUAACGCAUUAAGUUCCCCGCCUGGGGAGUACGGCCGCAAGGCUAAAACUCAAAGGAAUUGACGGGGGCCCGCACAAGCGGCGGAGCAUGCGGAUUAAUUCGAUGCAACGCGAAGAACCUUACCAAGGCUUGACAUAUACGAGAACGGGUCAGAAAUGGUCAACUCUUUGGACACUCGUAAACAGGUGGUGCAUGGUUGUCGUCAGCUCGUGUCGUGAGAUGUUGGGUUAAGUCCCGCAACGAGCGCAACCCUCGUUCUAUGUUGCCAGCACGUAAUGGUGGGAACUCAUAGGAGACUGCCGGGGUCAACUCGGAGGAAGGUGGGGAUGACGUCAAAUCAUCAUGCCCCUUAUGUCUUGGGCUUCACGCAUGCUACAAUGGCCGAUACAAAGGGCUGCGAUACCGUAAGGUGGAGCGAAUCCCAAAAAGUCGGUCUCAGUUCGGAUUGAGGUCUGCAACUCGACCUCAUGAAGUCGGAGUCGCUAGUAAUCGCAGAUCAGCAACGCUGCGGUGAAUACGUUCCCGGGCCU
rnacentral:rRNA from 1 species